GCCGCAGUAGUGCGUGCCCGUCGCUCUGCGCGCCCGCCCGCCGGAGCGCAGCAUCGCCUCCGGCCAAGAGUGUGCAUGCGUGGGUGGCCAAGGACCGCGCCGGGCACUGGGGAGGCGGCGGAAUGCUAAUGCAGGCUGCAGCCCAGGAGGAGCCCCCAGCUGGAGGACAGACAGGUGCAUGAAUAGGUGAUGAUGGUGACAGUGAUGACACUUUCACACAGGGCUUGUGUGAACACUGCACACACUAAUAUAAGUAAAAUCACAUUGCCGACUGAGUGCAUUGCCAACUGAGUGUGUUGCCGGCUGAAAAGGGCUGUACCAAUAUGAGCUCUCAUGUGCGUACAAAGCGCUGUAAGAACACGAAGGAGGGAGCACACAGCUCAGCCUGGGGAGAGCUGCAAAGAGGGGAAGGCUACUGGGUGGGCUCAGCAUCAGUGAGAACCUACUGUGCGCGGGCCCUGCGUGAUGCACGAGGGAAUGGAAUGAGGAAGGGUCCUGGCACCCGGGACCUCCCCAGCCCCUGAGACAGACGUAAAUCCCUGCAGCCCAGAUGUCUCUGUGCCCUGGUUAGAAGUGGCAGGACGGGAAGCACAGAGGUGGCAGGGACCACGUGGCAGGCAUGGGGCCUGAAGGUCAUGCCCAGAUGAACCCUUUCCUGUGCCCUCUCCUUGCAGACACCACGUCGAUGUGUAGGCCUUUCCACACGCAUUUCUCUAAAGGACGGUUCCUCUCGCCCUCCUGUCGUGCUCAGCUCAGCUUGCGCCUCCUCCAGGAAGCCCCCCCCCCCCGCCUGGCUGACUGCUUGCUCUGGGUUCGUGUGGCAUGUGCCUCAUGGUAUUGUCAUUGCCCAUCGACAGGUCUAGCACUAGACUGAGCUCCGGGGAAGCCAGGGCCUGGUUCAAGCCCCCGCCACACGGGAGCUGCCCGACAGAUGUCUGCCAAAGGAAUGAA